GCGGAAGUGGCGAAAUGGCAGACGCUACGGACUUAAAAUCGUUGUCCGAAAGGACGUGCGGGUUCGACUCCCACCCUCGGCA
rnacentral:tRNA from 1 species